AGUUAUGUAAAUUUGAUUUUUGGUUUGAUAUCAACGUUUGGUUUUAACGUAGACUUGCGUUUCCAUUUUAACAAAAAGCAACCAUUUUUUAAUCUGAUGCUUCAACGCUUUUUCAACGUUGUUUAACGUUGAUGUAUUUGCUGGGAUACUAGUUGGAACAUUUAAAGUUAAUAUAAUGUGAUACAAUACCGCACAAUAGUGGAGAAAUUCUUUUUAUUUUUGUUUUUGUUUAUAAUUAAAAUUAAAUAAAAUACUACUGCUGCUGCUUCUGUUACGCAGUUGUACGUGUUUGACAUGGAAUGUUAAACACUAACUAAAGAAGAUUUUGCACUCUUGGCUUUUUAUUUCUCUCUAUAUUUUUGACGAUGCGAUAAGAAGACGAUGCUCAUUUUAAAGGUCAAACUUUUGAUACAGGUCAAACGCUCAAAAAAAAUCUUGCAUCUCACGGGCGUAUGCAGGCCGAUUUGUUUCUUUCAUCCCGUUGCUCAAAGUUGGGGUCUACGUUUUCAGUAAGUAAACUUGCGUGUUAACGUUUAGUGAAACGAAAAGAUAAAUGUUUACAACAUCAAACACCAUACUUUUCCUAUAACAAGUAUUUUUCUGUUCACCAUUUUUUUCACGCGUGAUGUGCUCAAGAUUUAUUGAUAGAAGAAAUAUUUGUUUGAAAUUUUUACAUUUUUAUAAAUGUGUAAAUUAAGGGAACGAAUUUACCGUAGCGUUUAAUAAUUUUGUUCAUCAGUCAAUCAGGAGCUGAAGAACAACUUAUACCAAAACUGGACUGUUUAGCGUCAAGAUAAGUUUGGCUUUUCAUCAGUACCUUGUGAUCAAACAAUAGAACAGAAAUUCAAUUGUGAUUGCAAAACAAAAGGUGGUGUUGUUGGGUUUACAUUAAAUGAAAAUACCCACCAAAGAUGGAUAUAAGGACAAUCUCAUUGAUUACAAAUUACUGCACACUGCAAAUAGUUUGCUAGAAUUUAACAACACCAGAGGUAAUGUAAAAAUCUUGACAGAAACAUCGAUAAGCAACGAUAAAGAAAUUUUAAUCGAAGUUGUUUCUACAAUUGAUAAUAUGGUGAAUCCUUUCGUUACGUUACCAUCAAUUAAACUCAUUCAAAUAUCUAGUGGAAGAGUGGCAUCUUGUGAUGUUUAAAAUGAUUUACAAGAAGUCGUUGUUAAAGCAGAAUUCUAGUUACAAAAAUUUUUAAGAGAUAAAAAUGCUUGUGAAUCACCAGAAAUAUUUACAACACUGAAACGACAAAACCUAAAAACAUUUUCAUCGCUGAAAUCAAACUUUAAAACAAAAAAUUUAAAAGGUCAAAAAUUUCUUUAAAAGCGAAUAGAAAUACAUUUGCACGUCUUUUCCUCAUUGGAAAAAAUUAAUAUAUUAGUGCUAAACAUAUCCUAUCAGGUAUAUAUAUUCAUUUAUAAUUAUUAAAUGAUCCAAUAACCGAUUUAGUUAGACAAGUGAUCCAAUAACCGAUUUAGUUAAUGUCCUAAUUUAGAUGUUAUGGCAAUCCUGCAGGGGCUUAUUGAUGUGCCAGAUUUAUAUGGAAAGGUUGCCGACAUUGUUUUAAAAAUUGUUAUUCAACAAGAUCAUUACCAUAAGUCAUAUAGAGUAGAUUUUGUUUCUGAUCGUUUAUCCUUUGCAAAGUAUAAAAUAUGUAGAACAUAGUAAAAGAUUAUCAGAAAGCGUCAUUAUCUAUAACAAAGAUCAAAAAGUAUACAGGCCUUGGAAAAAAUUCAUGUCUAAUGGAAAGAAUAAAGAGACUUUUGUUUGCUUUUUGUUUAUUUGUUGGAAAGAAAUGGAUUUGUAAUUUACAUACGAAGAUAAAUGUUAUAGUUUUACUUCUUUUGACAGAAAGAUUUAAAAAUUUUUUUUGAUUUGAAAUGUGAUUACGAAAAAGCUGAUUCUAGACUCAUGCUAUAUGAGCAACAUGCAUCCAAAUUAAAGCAGAACAUCGUCGUUAAGUCCUCUGAUACAGAUGUGUUUGUUUAAUGUAUUUUUGUAAAAUGUUUGUUAGCAAAAAUCGAUCUCUACUUUUAGACAACUCAACCUUCAGCAAUUUAUUUCCAUAAAAUAAUGUUGUUCAUUUUUGGUGUACUUAAACUUGCCUUUCUUUACCAGGAUUCUAUGCCUUUAAUGAUUGCGAUUUUAUUAGUGCAUUUUUCGGAAAAGGGAAAGUUUCGCUAUUAAAUCAAAUGCAGAGUAAUGAAAUAUUUUUGGAAGCUUUUAGUGAUUUGGGUGAUAGUCCGUUUGCAAAAAAAAAAAACACGUGCUACCCUAAAAAUGUUUAUCUGCUAUGCAUAUGGUGAAUGGAAUACCGUUGAUGUAAACGAAGCUCGCUAUCAACUCUUUAAGAAAGGAAAGUACGGAGAAGAAUUUAUGCCUCCCAAUAAUGAUGCCCUUGAUAAUCAGAUUGAUCGGGGUAACUAUGUUGCUUAUAAAUGGAAAAGAUGUUUGACACAAUGGAUUAAUGUUAUGAGCCCAGUUGGAAAUUAGGCAAAUUACUAAUGGUCAGAUAAAUAUUUUAUGGCUAAAAAACCCACCAGUGUCUGAUGCAAUUCUUGAUGUUGUUAGCUGUAAUUGCAAAAUCGGAUGCAUAACAAACCAAUUGUCUUACCUUAAAGGAAGUUUAAAUUGUUCAGAUCAUUGUAAAUACACUCAUUGCGAAAAUAAGAAACAGAGUUCAGAUAUAAACACUGCGAUAAACAAUUUAAUAAUAUAACAAUUAUAGAUAUAAAGAUAUAAACAAUUGCGAAAAUAAGAAACAGAGUUCAGAUAUAAACACUGCGAUAAACAAUUUAAUAAUAUAACAAUUAUAGAUAUAAAGAUAUAAACAAUUGCGAAAAUAAGAAACAGAGUUCAGAUAUAAACACUGAUUCCGAGAUAGGUAAGAAAAUGAAAGUAACAACAAUGUGAAUCUUUUAGAAGAUAACUUUUAAAUAGAGAGGAGGGGGGGUUACGAUGGUUAAACAAAUGUCUACUUUUACCUGUUCAUUAUUUAUAACUCAAUAUUUGUUCAUAUAUGUGAGUAAAAAUAAAA